UACGUAGGGGGCAAGCGUUGUCCGGAUUUAUUGGGCGUAAAGAGCGUGUAGGCGGCCAGGUAGGUCCGUUGUGAAAACUGGAGGCUUAACCUCCAGCUGUCGAUGGAAACCAUCUGGCUAGAGUCCGGAAGAGGAGAGUGGAAUUCCUGGUGUAGCGGUGAAAUGCGCAGAUAUCAGGAAGAACACCCGUGGCGAAGGCGGUUCUCUGGGACGGUGCUGACGCUGAGACGCGAAAGCGUGGGGAGCGAACAGG
rnacentral:rRNA from 1 species